rnacentral:lncRNA from 1 species
AUUUUAUUCAUAAGUGCUUAACAUUUCUUGUUAUAUUCUCACAUUUUGAUUACUCAUGUAGUAGCCCAGUUUUACCCAGGCUCAAAACAGAAACCAAACCAAAUAAAAAUAAACAGUCCAUUUACAACCCAAAAUUACCAACAGACCCAAUACCCAAACCAAGCCCAAAACCUAAACUUUUUCAAAAAAACAAAAAAAAACCUUAGCCUCUAACAGCCACUCUACUGCCGCCGCCCUAAGUCAGCUA